UAAUUCGUUGGAUUAGGUUCCUUGGUUCAUAUGAGAUAACAACUUUGUGCAGAAUCGUCUUAGAAACCCAUCAAUUACGGGAUAUUCUCAGCAAGGUUACCAAGCUCGACCUCCUACGAGCUGGGCCUCUCCUGGUCAGCAACAACCUGGUUAUGGAUAUAUUCAGCCUGGAGCGUAUCCCGGACAGGCACCGCAGUAUAAUAUGUCUCAAUCACAGUAUCCUGGUUAUCCUCUGCAACCCGCUUCUGGUGGAUAUGCAGGCUGGGACCAGACCACUGCAGCAACUAAUCAGCAGACCGCUCAGGGAGGCGGCUAUGACUACUACAGCCAGCAAUCAGCUCCACAGCAGCAGCAAGCCCCCGGUGGUGCCUCAGGUCCUGCAGAUAAUGCUGCCUACGGUUACAAUCAGCAAUCAGCGUCUGGUUACCAUCAACAAGGUCAGGGUUAUACCCAAGAUGGCUAUGGUGGGUACCAUGCAUCUGCCCCUCAACCGGGUUAUGGUCCACCCCAGCCAGGUUAUGAUCAACAACAAGGUUACAACUCUACUCCUGGAUAUGGUACCGUUGCCAACCCAACACCUGAAGGGCAAACCCCUUCCUAUGGUGCUCAGGGUGAUGGCAGUCAAGUAAUCCCAUCAACUCAUGGUCAGCAAGGAUACAAUACUAGCCAGCAGCCUAGUCCUAAUCCUAGUUACCCACCCCAAGGACCUACACAGCCAGGUUAUGGCGUUCCUCCAACUUCCCAAGCAGCGUAUGGUACUCAACCACCUUCAGGAUACGGGCCUAGUUAUGCGGCACCGCAGGCUCAGAAACCUGCAGCUGGUCAGGCUGCUUAUGGGCAGCCCCAGCAGUCACCUACUGGCCAAGGGGGCUAUGUCCAGCCUGCUGCUGUGCAGGCAAGUUAUCCUCAUUCUCAGCCACCUCAGGCACAAGCUGGUUAUGCCCAGCCAGAUUCUGCUGCCCAGAGAGCUCCAACAUCUGCUUAUGGUACUGCACAGGCUUCAGGGUAUGCCCCACCAGCAUAUGGUGCAGCACCAGUGACUCAGCCAGGUUAUGGGGGGCAGCAGCCACCACCAUAUAACAGUUCGUAUGGAAGUGGUUAUUCUCAGCCUGCUGCGUAUUCUGCUGAUGGCUCUGCAGCUCCAGCUUCUCAGGCUGUUCCGCCUAGUGGGGUUGCCAAAGCUUCCCCCCAGAGUUGAGAUAUUGUGUGGUAAGCGGAUAAGAAAUUGUGGUCGCAUCUGAUUUUGGAAUUCUGGUGUAAUGUCAUUUAAUAGGGUUUUUAAUUAGGUUUUGUAGUGCAUCAGACUAGUAUUUGUGGUUUAAUGAUUUUGAUUGGAUGGUUUAUAAUGUUUUCUUAUGUACUCUGGCUGCUUUAAGGAUGAUUGUUCUAAGUUUAAAAAUGCAUAUGGGUUGCAGCUUGUCUUCUAUUUAUAUGGAAAUGCUAGAAAUGGAUAGCCAGCAGCAGCAGCAGGGUGAAUGUUUUUCUUUUCUUUAUUGUAGCAUUUAUUACUCCUCCUUACAUUUAAAAUUAAGAUAUCUAUGUAUGUCCUUUGGAACAAACUCUAUUAUCUGAUGGUUUGAAAUGGUAGGUAGGUAGAUAGGUAGGUAGGAGCUAUUAUUCCUCGAAAGCAGCAGUAAUUUCUGGUGGGUCAUUGGAGUGUGGUUGCAGAGGGUGUGCGAUCAAAUUCUCAUUCUCGGGUGCUCACGCAAGUGUAACUAGUUAGUUGUUUAUAUAUAAGGAAGGCGGUGGACGUGGAGUUUUAAAACAUAUUGGGGAUGAUAUCGAUUCGCAAACUUUUAUUUGUUCUGGACAAACCCCCAGUACUUGAACUAAAAUCCUUUUAUAAAGGAAUUAUUUAGGCGGAGUUUUCUUUCUCUUUUAUAUUUUCAAAAUUCAUAAUUAUUUCGUUUUAAAAAGUAUACAUAUAUAUAUAUAUAUAUAUAUAGUUUAAAGUUUGUAUUCUGAUAUGUUAAAUGAAGUAAACAGUUCGAAUUUUAUUUGUAUUUUUCUAUUCGAGCUCGAUUCAAAAUAUAAAUAAUUUAAAUAUGAGUAAAUUUUAUCUUUUUAAAUUAUAAUUUUUUCAAACUCUUCAAAUUUUAUUUUAUACUCAAUUGUGUGAUGCAUUUACCCCCCUUAUUUUGAGUAUUUAUUUAUGAAACCUCCCUUAUCCUAAAAAUGUUGCAGUUAGACUAAUGAAUAUUAUGUUGGUCCACCACGCAAACAACACAAUAAAAAGCCAAAGCGCAUUAAAGUACUACUACACGUUGGCACACGUUUAUAUGUUUUUACAUUAUUUAUUUAAAAAAGUGAAUAUUUAUUUUAUAUGAUUUGAAGAUGUGAGUUCAGAACUUUAUAAUACUCUUCUGGUGGACUUUUCAUAUAUUAAGAAGAUGAAUGAAAUGAUAAAAUUAUCCAUAAUAAUGUUAUUAAAUAUGAAGAGAGAAUUAGAAUAAAAAAAGUAUGAGAUAUUUAAUGUUACGGGUAUCAUAGGAAAAUAUGGGUAAAAGUUUGAUUAUUAAAGGAAAAUAGACAUUUAACAUGAGACUACCAAAAAUAGUAAUAAUGACUUUUAUCAUGGGAUGGAGAGAGUAAUAAAUACUUAUAAAUUUGAAAUNNNNNNNNNNNNNNNNNNNNNNNNNNNNNNNNNNNNNNNNNNNNNNNNNNNNNNNNNNNNNNNNNNNNNNNNNNNNNNNNNNNNNNNNNNNNNNNNNNNNAAUUUUUGUUUAUUGGAUUGAAGAGUAGCCUGUUCACUUGUUCAAUAUAUUAGUCUUGAAUAAAUUUGAUUGGUCAGCUGGAUAUUAUUCUUUCGUCAUGAAUUUUAUACCAGUGAAAUGUUAUGCUUCGGAGCAUAAUUGCGGUUCAAGGUAGCUCUUGGUAUCUUCCCUUGAUCGUUUUCUUAAAUAUGGUGCUUCACUUGCCUAAAUAUUUUUUUGCUUGGAUUUGUAUGAAAUUAAUUGAGUUGUAACCGUGUAUAUAGCUCAUGUUGACCCAUUGUUUCUCUUUUCCCCCUUUACUACAUGUCCUUAUUUUAUUCUUCCACUAUUUUUUAAUCCUCUCUUGAGGGUUUCUCACACGUUUAAAACAAUUGAAUAACAGUUAUCCUAUUUUAUUUAUAAUUCAUCUGAAACCUCUCUUAUUCUCUGUGCUGAUCUCUUUCUAGGGUUUGUUUAUCAUCUCUUUUUAUUGUUUUAAUUGCCUAAAGGUUCUUAUGCAGUUAUAAUCUGUGAAAAGUAUAGGGGUUAAUUGACUAAUUCUUUUUUUGACAUUCAGUCAACUUCUAAGUUCUUGUUAACAAACCUCUCAACAGUUUCCUUUUCGCAUAUUCAAUUCUCGCUGAUCCUGACAUUUCUCUCUAUUGCAUAUUGUGAAGCAAUAGUUACUAGAUAUUUUGUAUUUAGCGGUAUUGCUCGUUUUAGUACAUGUGUUUUUUUACCUGGGAGGUGGUAUUAUGAACGUAAUAAGAUCCUUUGUCCUUUUGUGUAAUACAAUAAUUCUUAUGUUGAUAAUUCAAUUGAUCGACUGGAUGGUCGCUGCAUAUCUUGCUUCUAGUACGAUCUUUGUAUAUGUUUCUGCAAUUUUCUUUUGUACCCAUUCACUUCGAAUAGGGAGAGGAUGGGGCAUCUGCUGGAGUAGCAAUAGUACCACUCAACCAGUACGGUAUGUAGGCGCCUAACUAAAUCCGUCUUAAUACAGUUAUGCACUUCAUCUCCUUGUGUAGUUUUGAUAGUGAAUUGACAUACUGUGCUAUCGUGUUGGUUUCUGGGCAUGUUAUUUUGUAGCUGUGAGUGUAUGUAUAAUGCUUUUAUUCUUUCACAAGGAUAUUUCUUAUAAUUCAUUGGAUUAGGUUCCUUGGUUCAUAUGAGAUAACAACUUUGUGCAGAAUCGUCUUAGAAACCCAUCAAUGACGGGAUAUUCUCAGCAAGGUUACCAAGCUCGACCUCCUACAAACUGGGCCUCUCCUGGUCAGCAACAACCUGGUUAUGGAUAUAUUCAGCCUGGAGCGUAUCCCGGACAGGCACCACAGUAUAAUAUGUCUCAAUCACAGUAUCCUGGUUAUCCUCCGCAACCCGCUUCUGGUGGAUAUGCAGGCUGGGACCAGACCACUGCAGCAACUAAUCAGCAGACUGCUCAGGGAGGCGGCUAUGACUACUACAGCCAGCAAUCAGCUCCACAGCAGCAGCAAGCCCCUGGUGGUGCCUCAGGUCCCGCAGAUAAUGCUGCCUACGGUUACAAUCAGCAAGCAGCGUCUGGUUACAAUCAACAAGGUCAGGGUUAUACCCAAGAUGGCUAUGGUGGGUACCAUGCAUCUGCCCCUCAACCGGGUUAUGGUCCACCCCAGUCAGGUUAUGAUCAGCAACAAGGUUACAACUCUACUCCUGGAUAUGGUACCGUUGCCAACCCAACACCUGAAGGGCAAACCCCUUCCUAUGGUGCUCAGGGUGAUGGCAGUCAAGUAAUCCCAUCAACUCAUGGUCAGCAAGGAUACAAUACUAGCCAGCAGCCUAGUCCUAAUCCUAGUUACCCACCCCAAGGACCUACACAGCCAGGUUAUGGCGUUCCUCCAACUUCCCAAGCAGCGUAUGGUACUCAACCACCUUCAGGAUACGGGCCUAGUUAUGCGGCACCGCAGGCUCAGAAACCUGCAGCUGGUCAGGCUGCUUAUGGGCAGCCCCAGCAGUCACCUACUGGCCAAGGGGGCUAUGUCCAGCCUGCUGCUGUGCAGGCAAGUUAUCCUCAUUCUCAGCCACCUCAGGCACAAGCUGGUUAUGCCCAGCCAGAUUCUGCUGCCCAGAGAGCUCCAACAUCUGCUUAUGGUACUGCACAGGCUUCAGGGUAUGCCCCACCAGCAUAUGGUGCAGCACCAGUGACUCAGCCAGGUUAUGGGGGGCAGCAGCCACCACCAUAUAACAGUUCGUAUGGAAGUGGUUAUUCUCAGCCUGCUGCGUAUUCUGCUGAUGGCUCUGCAGCUCCAGCUUCUCAGGCUGUUCCGCCUAGUGGGGUUGCCAAAGCUUCCCCCCAGAGUUGAGAUAUUGUGUGGUAAGCGGAUAAGAAAUUGUGGUCGCAUCUGAUUUUGGAAUUCUGGUGUAAUGUCAUUUAAUAGGGUUUUUAAUUAGGUUUUGUAGUGCAUCAGACUAGUAUUUGUGGUUUAAUGAUUUUGAUUGGAUGGUUUAUAAUGUUUUCUUAUGUACUCUGGCUGCUUUAAGGAUGAUUGUUCUAAGUUUAAAAAUGCAUAUGGGUUGCAGCUUGUCUUCUAUUUAUAUGGAAAUGCUAGAAAUGGAUAGCCAGCAGCAGCAGCAGGGUGAAUGUUUUUCUUUUCUUUAUUGUAGCAUUUAUUACUCCUCCUUACAUUUAAAAUUAAGAUAUCUAUGUAUGUCCUUUGGAACAAACUCUAUUAUCUGAUGGUUUGAAAUGGUAGGUAGGUAGAUAGGUAGGUAGGAGCUAUUAUUCCUCGAAAGCAGCAGUAAUUUCUGGUGGGUCAUUGGAGUGUGGUUGCAGAGGGUGUGCGAUCAAAUUCUCAUUCUCGGGUGCUCACGCAAGUGUAACUAGUUAGUUGUUUAUAUAUAAGGAAGGCGGUGGACGUGGAGUUUUAAAACAUAUUGGGGAUGAUAUCGAUUCGCAAACUUUUAUUUGUUCUGGACAAACCCCCAGUACUUGAACUAAAAUCCUUUUAUAAAGGAAUUAUUUAGGCGGAGUUUUCUUUCUCUUUUAUAUUUUCAAAAUUCAUAAUUAUUUCGUUUUAAAAAGUAUACAUAUAUAUAUAUAUAUAUAUAUAGUUUAAAGUUUGUAUUCUGAUAUGUUAAAUGAAGUAAACAGUUCGAAUUUUAUUUGUAUUUUUCUAUUCGAGCUCGAUUCAAAAUAUAAAUAAUUUAAAUAUGAGUAAAUUUUAUCUUUUUAAAUUAUAAUUUUUUCAAACUCUUCAAAUUUUAUUUUAUACUCAAUUGUGUGAUGCAUUUACCCCCCUUAUUUUGAGUAUUUAUUUAUGAAACCUCCCUUAUCCUAAAAAUGUUGCAGUUAGACUAAUGAAUAUUAUGUUGGUCCACCACGCAAACAACACAAUAAAAAGCCAAAGCGCAUUAAAGUACUACUACACGUUGGCACACGUUUAUAUGUUUUUACAUUAUUUAUUUAAAAAAGUGAAUAUUUAUUUUAUAUGAUUUGAAGAUGUGAGUUCAGAACUUUAUAAUACUCUUCUGGUGGACUUUUCAUAUAUUAAGAAGAUGAAUGAAAUGAUAAAAUUAUCCAUAAUAAUGUUAUUAAAUAUGAAGAGAGAAUUAGAAUAAAAAAAGUAUGAGAUAUUUAAUGUUACGGGUAUCAUAGGAAAAUAUGGGUAAAAGUUUGAUUAUUAAAGGAAAAUAGACAUUUAACAUGAGACUACCAAAAAUAGUAAUAAUGACUUUUAUCAUGGGAUGGAGAGAGUAAUAAAUACUUAUAAAUUUGAAAUAUACUACUCCCUCCGUCCCAAAUUAACUGCUCAGUUUUGACUUUUUUAAGUCAAAUUGAUUAUUUUUAGAAUUAAUAAUUAAGCAUAUAUAAAUAUAUUUCUAAAAUUAUAAAAAUUAGGAUUAGUAAUAAAGUGUAUAUACUUUCUUUUGGUUAUAAUCUCUUCACCUAUAUUUUAGCAAAAUUAGUAAAAAGAUUAGUUUUAAAAAUGGUCAAUUUGACUUUAAAAAGUCAAAACUAAGCAAUUAAUUUGGGACGGAGGGAGUAAUAAUUAAUACAAAAAUAUGUAACUAAACUAAAUUAAAAUUUAUCCCAACUUUUUUUUUUGAGAAAAAACGAAUAUUUUAUACUCUCUUAAAAUUUAACACAAUAAACUAUUUUUAUUUUUAUUUUUGGUUUAAUAUAUUUUUUUUAUAAUAAAAUGUCACACGACACAAGUUUUACAAAACUAAAUAUGGACAAGGUCCGGUCCAUCUCUAUCUAAAAGCCCAACCAAUUGCAUAACGUGGCAAGACUUGAGUGGUCACUGUACAACACCUGAGAGACGUUAACCUGAUGGAACCGAACCAUGCCCUUGUAUAUAUACUGUGUGUCUAUAUAGUUUUUGAUCAAAAACAAAAACCCCUGUUUCACGAAAAGUAUAGAAACCCCUCGAGAAGGAAUUAGGUACUGCAAAUUCUUCUUUUGUUAAAUUUUAGUUUAUCUGUAAGUAUUUAUAUAUCUCCUUUGUGUCUAUAAAUGUGUUUGAAUUCCAGUUAACAAAUUUUUGUUAUGCGGUGUGAUUUAUGUAGUUGUUUAAUGUGUUUAUCCAUGUGAUUGUAUNNNNNNNNNNNNNNNNNNNNNNNNNNNNNNNNNNNNNNNNNNNNNNNNNNNNNNNNNNNNNNNNNNNNNNNNNNNNNNNNNNNNNNNNNNNNNNNNNNNNUGUCUCAAUCACAGUAUCCUGGUUAUCCUCCGCAACCCGCUUCUGGUGGAUAUGCAGGCUGGGACCAGACCACUGCAGCAACUAAUCAGCAGACUGCUCAGGGAGGCGGCUAUGACUACUACAGCCAGCAAUCAGCUCCACAGCAGCAGCAAGCCCCUGGUGGUGCCUCAGGUCCCGCAGAUAAUGCUGCCUACGGUUACAAUCAGCAAGCAGCGUCUGGUUACAAUCAACAAGGUCAGGGUUAUACCCAAGAUGGCUAUGGUGGGUACCAUGCAUCUGCCCCUCAACCGGGUUAUGGUCCACCCCAGUCAGGUUAUGAUCAGCAACAAGGUUACAACUCUACUCCUGGAUAUGGUACCGUUGCCAACCCAACACCUGAAGGGCAAACCCCUUCCUAUGGUGCUCAGGGUGAUGGCAGUCAAGUAAUCCCAUCAACUCAUGGUCAGCAAGGAUACAAUACUAGCCAGCAGCCUAGUCCUAAUCCUAGUUACCCACCCCAAGGACCUACACAGCCAGGUUAUGGCAUUCCUCCAACUUCCCAAGCAGCGUAUGGAACUCAACCACGUUCAGGAUACGGGCCUAGUUAUGCGGCACCGCAGACUCAGAAACUUGCAGCUGGUCAGGC
rnacentral:lncRNA from 1 species